rnacentral:rRNA from 1 species
CGCGGCCUAUCAGCUUGUUGGUGGGGUAACGGCCCACCAAGGCAUCGACGGGUAGCUGGUCUGAGAGGACGAUCAGCCACACUGGGACUGAGACACGGCCCAGACUCCUACGGGAGGCAGCAGUGGGGAAUAUUGCGCAAUGGGCGAAAGCCUGACGCAGCAACGCCGCGUGGGGGAUGAAGGCUUUCGGGUUGUAAACCCCUUUCAGUGAUGACGAAAAUGACGGUAAUCACAGAAGAAGCCCCGGCCAACUACGUGCCAGCAGCCGCGGUAACACGUAGGGGGCAAGCGUUGUCCGGAUUUAUUGGGCGUAAAGAGCUCGUAGGCGGUUGCGUAAGUCGGACGUGAAAACUCAGGGCUCAACCCUGAGAUGCCGUUCGAUACUGCGCUGACUAGAGUCCGGUAGGGGAGCAUGGAAUUCCUGGUGUAGCGGUGAAAUGCGCAGAUAUCAGGAGGAACACCAGUGGCGAAGGCGGUGCUCUGGGCCGGAACUGACGCUGAGGAGCGAAAGCAUGGGUAGCAAACAGGAUUAGAUACCCUGGUAGUCCAUGCCGUAAACGUUGGGCACUAGGUGUGGGGUCUACUUAACGGAUUCCGUGCCGUAGCUAACGCAUUAAGUGCCCCGCCUGGGGAGUACGG